rnacentral:snRNA from 1 species
GUGCUCGCUUUGGCAGCACAUAUACUAAAAUUGGAAUGAUACAGAGAUUAGCAUGGCCCCUGAGCAAGGAUGCCAUGCAAAUUUGUGAAGUGUUCCAUAUUUUU